GAAAUAGAAAUCCGGUCGCAAAAUCGCCUGAAAUAGUACCCAAAAACUGAGCGGGAACAUUCUUAGGCGCUAAAAGGCAAAUAAAUUAAAAAUAACCUUAAAAAAAAACCCUAUUCCCAUUCCCCUGAUCGUGCAAUUCAUCUCUUCCUCACUCCCCCUCAACAGCUUGAAGGCUCGAACAAAACUGAACGCCAGAAAACUGAACGCCAGAAAUUGAACGCCAAGUACCACUCUUUCAAGUACUUCGUUUGCGAAUUGAGGAAAGGAAAUCUUGACUGGGGCUUAGCAGCGAUGCGACUCGUGAUUGGGCAAAACUAAUAGUAGCAAUGACAUGUGGAGGAGAUCCUUAUGUGAAGCUUGAGUUGGAAUGAUAUGGACUAACAUUGCGGGUUAUGACAUUUACUACAAUGUGAAAGAACUACAAUAGUUAUGGUUUUUUAGCUUUUGAAACUUUUGACAGAUUCUCUAAACUUUUUUAUCGUAUUGAACCAUUGGCUUAGAUUGUAGAUACUUUUGUUAUUGGUACUUGUGUUUGGACAUCUAUGUACUUAUGAAUUAUAUUUUAUCACGA